GUUUACUUUGANAANAUUAGAGUGUUCAAAGCAGGCCUGGCGCCUGRAUANUGGUGCAUGGAAUAAUGGAAUAGGACCUCGGUUCUNUUUCGUUGGUUUUCGGAACGUGAGGUAAUGAUCNAGAGGGACGGACGGGGGCAUUCGUAUUGCGGCGGGAGAGGUGAAAUUCUUGGAUCGCCGCAAGACGAACCACUGCGAAAGCAUUUGCCAAGAAUGUUUUCAUUGAUCAAGAACGAAAGUUGUGGGCGCGAAGGCGAUCAGAUACCGCCCUAGUCACAACCAUAAACGAUGCCAACCAGCGAUCCGCCGGCGUUACUUCGAUGACCCGAUGGGCAGCUCCCGGGAAACCUGAGUYUUCG
rnacentral:rRNA from 1 species